GUGUGAAAGAUAGACCUAUUCUCAAGUAUAAAAAUGAGUGAGAUAGAAGGGGCUGCUUUUUGUGUCUUUUCUUUUUCCUUUUCUUCCUUUUUCUUUUUUUUCUU
rnacentral:ribozyme from 13 species